rnacentral:rRNA from 1 species
GGUAGCCGGCCUGAGAGGGCGACCGGCCACACUGGGACUGAGACACGGCCCAGACUCCUACGGGAGGCAGCAGUGGGGAAUAUUGGGCAAUGGAGGAAACUCUGACCCAGCGACGCCGCGUGMGGGAUGAAGGCCUUCGGGUUGUAAACCNCUUUCAGUAGGGAAGAAGCGAAAGUGACGGUACCUACAGAAGAAGCACCGGCUAACUAUGUGCCAGCAGCCGCGGUAAUACAUAGGGUGCAAGCGUUGUCCGGAAUUAUUGGGCGUAAAGAGCUCGUAGGUGGUUNGAUACGUCGGAUGUGAAAAUCAGGGGCUCAACCCCUGACCUGCAUYCGAUACGGUCNAGCUNGAGUKUGGUAGGGGA